GAUGAAGAACGUAGCGAAAUGCGAUAAGUAAUGUGAAUUGCAGAAUUCAGUGAAUCAUCGAAUCUUUGAACGCACAUUGCGCCCGCUAGUAUUCUGGCGGGCAUGCCUGUUCGAGCGUCAUUACAACCCUCAGGCCCCCGGGCCUGGCGUUGGGGAUCGGCGGAAGCCCCCUGCGGGCACAACGCCGUCCCCCAAAUACAGUGGCGGUCCCGCCGCAGCUUCCAUUGCGUAGUAGCUAACACCUCGCAACUGGAGAGCGGCGCGGCCACGCCGUAAAACACCCAACUUCUGAAUGUUGACCUCGAAUCAGGUAGGAAUACCCGCUGAACUUAAGCAUAUCAAUAAGCGGAGGA
rnacentral:misc_RNA from 1 species